UACGUAGGGGGCGAGCGUUGUCCGGAUUUAUUGGGCGUAAAGAGCUCGUAGGCGGUUUGGUAAGUCGGGUGUGAAAUCUCCACGCUCAACGUGGAGGGGCCACUCGAUACUGCCAUGACUCGAGUCCGGUAGAGGAGUGUGGAAUUCCCGGUGUAGCGGUGAAAUUCGUAGAUAUUCGGAAGAACACCAGUGGCGAAGGCGACUAACUGGACAUGUAUUGACGCUGAGGUGCGAAAGCGUGGGGAGCAAACAGG
rnacentral:rRNA from 1 species